rnacentral:rRNA from 1 species
GAUGAACGCUGGCGGCGUGCCUAAUACAUGCAAGUCGAGCGAACAGACGAGGAGCUUUCUCCUCUGACGUUAGCGGCUGACGGGUGAGUAACACGUGUAUAACCUACCUAUAUGACUGGGAUAACUUCGGGAAACCGGAUCUAAUCCCGGAUAAUAUAUUGAACCGCAUGGUUCAAUAGUUAAAGACGGUUUUGCUGUCUCUUAUAGAUGGAUCCAGGCCGCAUUAGCUAGUUGGUAAGGUAACGGCUUACCAAGGCGACGAUGCGUAGCCGACCUGAGAGGGUGAUCGGCCACACUGGAACUGAGACACGGUACAGACGCCUACGGGAGGCAGCAGUAGGGAAUCUUCCGCAAUGGGCGAAAGCAUGACGGAGCAACGCCGCGUGAGUGAUGAAGGUCUUCGGAUCGUAAAACUCUGUUAUUAGGGAAGAAAAAAAGUGGAAGAAAAUAUGCACGUCUUGACGGUAACUAAUCAGAAAGCCACGGCUAACUACGUG